UGAGCAACCUGCCCCGGACUCUGGGAUAACAGUUGGAAACAGCUGCUAAUACCGGAUACGAGCUGCGAAGGCAUCUUCAGCAGCUGGAAAGAACUUCGGUCUGGGAUGGGCUCGCGGCCUAUCAGCUAGUUGGUGAGGUAACGGCUCACCAAGGCGUCGACGGGUAGCCGGCCUGAGAGGGUGACCGGCCACACUGGGACUGAGACACGGCCCAGACCUCCCGUAGGGAGGCG
rnacentral:rRNA from 1 species